AUACGUAGGUGGCAAGCGUUGUCCGGAUUUAUUGGGCGUAAAGCGAGCGCAGGCGGUUUCUUAAGUCUGAUGUGAAAGCCCCCGGCUUAAACGGGGAGGGUCAUUGGAAACGGGGAGACUUGAGUGCAGAAGAGGAGAGUGGAAUUCCAGGUGUAGCGGUGAAAUGCGUAGAUAUAUGGAGGAACACCAGUGGCGAAGGCGACUCUCUGGUCUGUAACUGACGCUGAGGCUCGAAAGCGUGGGGAGCAAACAGGAUUAGAUACCCUGGUAGUCCACGCCGUAAACGAUGAGUGCUAAGUGUUGGAGGGUUUCCGCCCUUCAGUGCUGCAGCUAACGCAUUAAGCACUCCGCCUGGGGAGUACGGCCGCAAGGCUGAAACUCAAAUGAAUUGGCGGGG
rnacentral:rRNA from 1 species